AUACCUCAUAGCACUUUGAAUGGUCAGGAUGAAAGAAAGGCAGACAUACAUGUCCAUUCAUUAACGUAUGAGACAGGGCAGUUUUGAGAAGGUGAAGAAAAGUCUUCAGAACUGGACAUUUAAUGAAUACAGUCCAAAGAACUUGAGAUGUUAGGUGCUUUGACUCCUAAUCUACACAUUUUCUUCAAGUCUCUUCUGCCUGGCAGAGUCUCUAAAGUUCUGCUAUGAAUUUGUCAACAUUUGUCAUUUUAGUUCACACAGCCAGGGCAUCUAGAGCAGAUUCUAGUUUUUGCAGUUUUGCUAAAGCCCAAUACCCAUUUGUGCUGGUAGCUGUGGUAGGGAUGAUGCAGAAGGGAACAUGUGCAUCCUCACAAAAUGCUCCCCAAGGCAGCAACCCAGAGUCUAGCACUAGGUCUGUGCUUUGAACUCAUCUAAGACAGAGCAUGUCCAAAGAGUCAUAAUUUCAGGGUGACAAGAUUGGAGGUCAGUGCUCUAUUUUCCAGCUAAAUAAGGGAGUGAGAAGUUGAGAGCUGAUACCUUCCCCUCCUCUCCCUCACUUGCAAGCACUUUGCACUUUCUUGCUAAGGCCUCAGGCUCCAGAGGGGCCCAGGAAGGUCUUAGAACCCAGGGCAGAGAGCUGGGUUUUCCUAUGGUAGCCAGCAAGAGAUCUCAAGGAAGAAGGGAGGGAUGCGAGUGGCCCAGUCCUUAAUAACGUUCCUGCGGAUCUUUGUUUUCCUGAAGACUGGCUUGCGGACUGCAAGUAUGACUCCACUAGCAGCGAUGACGAAGACGACAAUCCAGGUCACCCUAUCACAGUCACCGCAAUGAUUCACUCAGAGGCGUUUUUCUCGGACUCAGAAGAGUCAGACGUAGAGAAUGGCAAUAUGCAUCUGUCUACACUCGUUGAGGAGGAGGAGUCUGUUUACAUCGACCUUCUUUUCCGGGAAUGCACAGAAGGAAUCAAUGAUGUGAAAAGAGAUGAAGAAGAGGAAGAAGAGGAAGAAGAGAUGUUAGUGUGGAGUAGUGGGUAGGAUGAAGAGGGAAGGGAAACAAGUCCACAUGCACUAACUUUCUUUGCCACUUCAGGAAAUUCAGCGUUCAUGAGGAGCUUGCUGGAGUGCCUGCACCUGUGUGUGAAUAUGGAGGCGGAGAUAGGAAUCUGAGGGGGAACAUGAGCACAGGCA
rnacentral:lncRNA from 1 species